CUGGACAGGACCAUUAGAGUCGAGAUUUGCAUCAACGUUUUCCACCUCCCCUGUCGUGAUUUUUAGCACAUUAAGCAGAACCCAAGAAGGCGGGUUAUUCAGAGAUAAUUCUGCAGAUUCUUCAGCCUGGUUUGGAGCUUUAGUAUAAUCACCCCCCUCUUCUUCUGAACCAUCAAGAAUCAGCAAAGUGUUAAAAGCUGCAAUCUGCAGAAAGUUUCUGAGAAAAACACGAAACUUUUUUCGUACCUUGGAUUCCUGAUGUGUUUGUGUUCCCCAUCUCUGUUCUCAUCUUCAACUAUCCAAAUCCUGCAACAGAAAAAAGUAGAGUGGGUAAUGAUCAACACUGGGACUCCAAUCACACUCCGAUGCACCUCUAUAUAAAUGGGAAUCGAAAUCAUACCAUUAUGAUGAUUAUAGUCAUGUUCACAUGCUAAUCACCACAAACUAACACUGUAGAAGGCAGCUUGAAUUUAGGGGGAGAUUUGCAGAGGGGUUAAUAUUCGAUUGGUACGGGCAAUUCAAUAGUAACUCUUCGGGCAUAACACCCAAAAGGUAUGCCAAUAUAUACUCAACUAAACAAUGCUUAUAUGAUAAUGUAUGUUUUGCUGGUUUUU